AGCAGGGAACCCAGGAGGAGGCGAUAAGAGUGAACUUGGUUUUGGAUAAACUGAAUUUGAGAUAUUUGAAGGACAUCUAGGUGGUGUCCUAUAGAACUUGCAAGCAACACUGAGUUCAUUGAGUCUGGGUAUUUCUGGCUAUGUGGAGAGGACCAUGCUCGGGGUUGCCAACAGACCAGCCACUGGGAAGGGAGCUCGUUGCGUCCACCUCCUCAGCUCCCACGCCAGGGUUGCACCUCGCCUCUUCUCGCUCCCCUACAUCCUCUCUGCCCCAACGAGAUUCCAGAGACAAGGAGGUGCUCCCAUCUGACUCAGGUUGGGAAACUGAGGCCAGAAAGAGUUGCCCUAAGUUACAACAAAGAUGUAUCUAAAGUUGGAAGAAGAAUUCAUGUUUCCUGACUCUCCAUCCAGUGCUCCUUCCACUGUACCUCUGCCUCCAUAAAUCAGGCACUGCCA